AAUAAAUCUAUUUUGGGCCAAACAGAAUGUCGUGUGAUGAGACAAGUGGAGAGUGCAGGCCAGAUGUAAGACAGUUCUGACACAAAAAAACAAACCAGAAAUGUAAAGCAUCUGUGUGAUAUUUCAGAGAGUGAUCUCAAAAGAAGGACGGUCUGCAGCAUGUACUCUCAUGUGUGGUUCAUGUGUGCCCACUGAAAGGAGGAGAGAACGAUCAAGACGGUGUUGACCUACAUGUGAAGUUAGAAAAGGCCAGGGAAUAAAUCUGCAACCUUGAGACCAGACAUCAUACUGUGAACAUCACAGGCUAAAAAUAUUGAGGUGGAACGAAUGUGGCCCCGGGAAAAAAGCAGCGACGAGGCCAUGGAGAGAAAAAGUCAAGCCAGACGAAGUGUUCGGCGAGGACUGCAGUGACACAGGAUGGACAACAGGGCUGUUUCCAGCAGAGGUGGGCUC